rnacentral:lncRNA from 1 species
CCUCAGGGGCGUUUCCGGAAGCUCUGCGAUCAGCUUCUCGGCGGCGUCUAGGGGGAGAUACUUCCAUCCAUCGGAAGUUCGCAGCUGCAGCUCUUCAAUCAGCAACAGGUAUGGCUUCAAACCUUCGUCCGUGCGUGGCAUCUGAUUGUUCAUGUGAGCUUGGAGCUGCAUCGCAUACCUCGACUCGGCCAGAGAUCCAUAUAUCUUAUUUGUCUCGUGCCUGAGCAUGCUAGACCGCAUUUCAUCCCUGGUCAGCAGCUUCGCGAGCAUAUCAGCCGCCUUGCGCGUGAGCUGCAAGCUUGAAGCUACCUUGCAUAGCAUCUCUAGUCCCGGUGGCGAGCUCAGCUCCUCGAUGUUGUCUGCCGGGGAUCUUCCUAUCAGAUUCUCGAGCCACCUCUCAAUCGACCACGCAGACAGCAGCACCGGUCUCACGAUGCUGGUACUUCCGGUGCUGCUGUUAUUGCUCGAGUGUGAAAACUUGCAUCUUAAUCCAUUUCGGCAGUAGCCACGCUGGAAAAACUUGCAUGGUCCUGCCUGACUGGAAGGCUCUGCAGGAGCAAGACCCGUCGCCAUUGCUUUCUCUCGCACCGAAAACCUUGGCACGGCCUGGCUCGCAGACAUGUCCCCGAGUGCUAGUUUCAGGUCCUCGUCCGUCUCGACUGUGAUUGUUUCUCCUUCCGAGUCGCCGUAGCUGAUGACGAUGCCGCUCGCGCUCUUCAGCUCGCUGAAAGUUUUCUUGAUGGUUUCCACCAGAGCCUGCAUGCUUAGCUGCAACGUAACCAUCACUAAUCUGAUGCUUUCGUUGUGACACAGCUUCAAACGAAAAGCACGACUGCAAGGUUCUUCCUGGAUUCACAAGGCGAAAAGAAAAAAAGGAAGGGUAUGGAUUAGAGAGAGAGUUUUUUCUUGCUUACCAUGGUUUCUUGCAGAGCAGCUGCCGCAUGUCGAUCACUUCCUCUCCUUCCGCUUGCCAUGGCGUCUCGAUUCCAAAGGCUUCCAAGACUGUGAUCACAGCGUUUUAUCUCCUAAACGGCCUCCCGCCCGCUUUCAUUACGGUUCACUGGCAUUUAUUUUAUAGAUGAUCACGCUUGAGGCUUUAUUCGCUGAAUUCUUUAUUUGAGGCCAACUCAGUAUUCCAUUAGAGCCCUUCACUUUAGGUUCUCUUUGCCCAAAGUCCCUCCCAAAGUUAAUAUGGGCGGCAGAUGUGAUUCUGGCUUUACAUCUGUUUUAUUCCA